UGAGGAAUUUUGGACAAUGGGGGCAACCCUGAUCCAGCCAUUCCGCGUGAGUGAAGAAGGCCUUCGGGUUGUAAAGCUCUUACUAAUACUAGGAGUCCAUGACGGUACCGUAAGAAUAAGCACCGGCUAACUACGUGCCAGCAGCCGCGGUAAUACGUAGGGUGCGAGCGUUAAUCGGAAUUACUGGGCGUAAAGCGUGCGCAGGCGGUUAUAUAAGACAGAUGUGAAAUCCCCGGGCUCAACCUGGGAACUGCAUUUGUGACUGUAUAGCUAGAGUGCGGCAGAGGGGGAUGGAAUUCCGCGUGUAGCAGUGAAAUGCGUAGAUAUGCGGAGGAACACCGAUGGCGAAGGCAAUCCCCUGGGCCUGCACUGACGCUCAUGCACGAAAGCGUGGGGAGCAAACAGG
rnacentral:rRNA from 1 species